UUGGGGAGCCUUCUUUAAGGGGUGAGGGCGCCUCAUUGGCUGCUAUGCCGGGGUCAGCUGGAGGUCAGGACAUGUGUGAUGGAUGGACCUCUGUCUCUGAACCACUACCAAGCCAGCUCCCCGUCCUCGCUCCUCCUGUGGGCCUCAGACRCGCUGAAGUGCCCUGCCUGCGCUCCUCUGUUUCCACAUCUCUUUGUAUAACUCCAUUUGGCACCCUAUAGGUCGGAGUGCUUCAUCAAGCCRAAAGGAGCUCGAAGGGAACUGCAGACAAGUCUUUGAGAGACGCACAUCUGUCGAUGGAAGAAUUCAUUUUGUCCGCCAAUCACACCGGGGGAGUGGUCACUGAGCUCAGAUGUGCCAAUACCUGGACUGCUGUGAUGAGUGACUUCUGUCUGUGUCCAUCUCCACCUCCCUCAGCUUCCAGCACUUUCUGUCUGAUCCACCGAGUCACCGGCAGAACCACUGCUGGAGAGAGGGAUGAUUUUACUGCUCUGUGCAUGUGAGAAAAAUAUAAACAAAGCUGCCACUGUUAUUUAGGAUAAACAACAAUUUGCACGAAAAAUGAAUCAUUUUAAGUGAUUUUGUCACAUUUGAUGUGAUUAUUGUAGAUAUUUUUGUCAUUUUUUUGACAUAUUGUAUUUUUGUGAUGAACAAAAAAAAACGAGACUGUGAGUUUUAAAGUUUCAACUCUGAGUUUCAACAGCUGGUGGUAGAAUUUWUUUUUAGUCUUCCUAAAACAGUCCCAGUUCUGGAAAUCGAAUACUUGUAUUUUUCAGAUCAGACUUGAGGUCCUGCUUUUAUGUUCUAUCUUUCAUAUGGGUCAUCAGAUACACAUACCAUUAAAAAUAAUAAUAAUAUUAUUAAUAAAAAUAAUUCAAAAAUGCAAUUUAAAAAAACAUGAACAAUUUAUUGGACAUGGUGAAUGGAACUUAUUUGUGGUGUUUUUUCCCUUGUUAUAUUUGUGUGAUUUGGAUAAAUACCUGUUCACUCUCAUU